rnacentral:rRNA from 1 species
GGUGACUGCGUACCUUUUGUAUAAUGGGUCAGCGACUUAUUUUCAGUGGCGAGCUUAACCGAAUAGGGGAGGCGUAGCGAAAGCGAGUCUUAAUAGGGCGUCUAGUCGCUGGGAAUAGACCCGAAACCGGGCGAUCUAUCCAUGGGCAGGUUGAAGGUUAGGUAACACUGACUGGAGGACCGAACCGACUACCGUUGAAAAGUUAGCGGAUGACCUGUGGAUCGGAGUGAAAGGCUAAUCAAGCUCGGAGAUAGCUGGUUCUCCUCGAAAGCUAUUUAGGUAGCGCCUCAUGUAUCACUGUAGGGGGUAGAGCACUGUUUCGGCUAGGGGGUCAUCCCGACUUACCAAACCGAUGCAAACUCCGAAUACCUACAAGUGCCGAGCAUGGGAGACACACGGCGGGUGCUAACGUCCGUCGUGAAAAGGGAAACAACCCAGACCGUCAGCUAAGGUCCCAAAGUUAUGGUUAAGUGGGAAACGAUGUGGGAAGGCUUAGACAGCUAGGAGGUUGGCUUAGAAGCAGCCACCCUUUAAAGAAAGCGUAAUAGCUCACUAGUCGAGUCGGCCUGCGCGGAAGAUGUAACGGGGCUCAAACCAUACACCGAAGCUACGGGUAUCAUCUUCGGAUGAUGCGGUAGAGGAGCGUUCUGUAAGCCUGUGAAGGUGAGUUGAGAAGCUUGCUGGAGGUAUCAGAAGUGCGAAUGCUGACAUGAGUAACGACAAUGGGUGUGAAAAACACCCACGCCGAAAGACCAAGGUUUCCUGCGCAACGUUAAUCGACGCAGGGUUAGUCGGUCCCUAAGGCGAGGCUGAAAAGCGUAGUCGAUGGAAAACAGGUUAAUAUUCCUGUACUUCUGGUUAUUGCGAUGGAGGGACGGAGAAGGCUAGGCCAGCUUGGCGUUGGUUGUCCAAGUUUAAGGUGGUAGGCUG